AUUUCACAUAGAGGUUGCGAUUGACAGGAGUCGCUUAUCUGAAUUGUUGUAGCAAUUGGGAGGGUAAGUCAAAGGGGAAAUCGCCGAAAUGAACUAACACUACAAAGUUAGUUUGUUGGGCUAAUGGUUAAGAACUAUUAGACUGUCGUUAGAAAUAACGGUGAGCUAUGGAAACU
rnacentral:ncRNA from 1 species